UACAGAGGUCCCAAGCGUUGUUCGGAUUCAUUGGGCGUAAAGGGUGCGUAGGUGGCGCGCUAAGUCAGGUGUGAAAUUUCGGAGCUUAACUCCGAAACUGCAUUUGAUACUGGCGUGCUUGAGGACUGGAGAGGAGACUGGAAUUUACGGUGUAGCAGUGAAAUGCGUAGAUAUCGAGAGGAACACCGGUGGCGAAGGCGGCCUUCUGGACAGUGACUGACGCUGAGACGCGAAAGCGUGGGGAGCAAACAGG
rnacentral:rRNA from 1 species